rnacentral:rRNA from 1 species
AAGCUCGUAGUUGAAUUUCGGGGUCAGUAGGUUGGUCGUGCCACCGGUACGUACUGGUCACACUGAUUCCUCCUUCCUGAUGGGCUGUAAUGCCGUUAAUUUGGUGUUGCAGGGAAUCUGGACUGUUACUUUGAAAAAAUUAAGAGUGUUUAAAGCAGGCUAACGCUUGAAUACAUUAGCAUGGAAUAAUGAAAUAGGACGUUCGAUCCUACUUUUGUUUGGUUUUCGUUAGGAGUUGUACGUAAUAGAUUAAUUAAGGGAGUAGUUAGGU